rnacentral:rRNA from 1 species
UACGGAGGGGGCUAGCGUUGUUCGGAAUUACUGGGCGUAAAGCGCGCGUAGGCGGACCUGCAAGUCGGGGGUGAAAGCCCGAGGCUCAACCUCGGAACUGCCUUCGAUACUGCGGGUCUCGAGUCCGGGAGAGGUGAGUGGAACUCGUAGUGUAGAGGUGAAAUUCGUAGAUAUUCGCAAGAACACCAGUGGCGAAGGCGGCUCACUGGCCCGGUACUG